rnacentral:lncRNA from 1 species
UGGCUUCCAUUGUUUCUGUUAAGAAGUUAGCCAUCAGUCUUACUGUUGCUUCUUUGAGACUGAAUAGCAGAAUGAAGACAACAAAAGAAUCAGUACAUUUGAAAAAAGAUCAGUAGAAAUUAUCCAGUCUGAACAACAACAAAAAAAGGACUUGGCAGACGUGGGAAGGGGAGAAGCACUCUCUCUCUCGUGGGAGAACAUCAAAAAUUCUAAAUUUAUACCAUCAGAGUCCCAGAAAGAGAGUAGAAGGAGUAAACUUCAGAAAAAAAUAUUUGAAGACUAAUGAGUGAAAAUUUCCUGAAGUUUGAAAAUGAGCAACAGAGACACAGGACAAGAACAAGGCAAAAAAUAAAUGUCAUAGAAGACAUAUAAGUAUUGAAAAGUUUUCAAGACACCCGAAUGCC